rnacentral:sRNA from 1 species
AGCAGUGAAUGAUCGGGCCACUGGGUGACAAAGUGAGACCCCAUCUUGAAAAAAACAAGAAAAAACCAGAAAAGUCAAAUUAUGGCUUUUUAAGCUCGAUAGAGGCUUUCUGCAAUUCUUCAUGAUCUGAUGGGUGCAGCAUCUACUAAACCGUCUGUUAGGUGAACAGGGGCUGAGGUAUGUCAAAAUUAGUAUUUCAGAAUCUGGCUAACUCCAGGAUGUGUUGCUUAGGAUGCCUGGUGUGCAGGAGUAUAUACAACAGCCUAUUCUCAAUGGUCUGCGGGAUAAGGCUUCAUAUGUCAGGAGAGUGGCAGUCCUUGGAUGUGCCAAGAUGCAUAAUCUUCAUGGAGACUCUGAAGUAGAUGGUGCCCUGGUAAAUGAAUUAUACAGUUUGCUGCGUGACCAGGAUCCAAUUGUAGUUGUGAACUGCUUGAGGUCUCUAGAGGAAAUUCUGAAACAGGAAGGAGGCGUUGUCAUCAAUAAGCCCAUUGCUCACCAUCUCUUAAAUCGAAUGUCAAAACUGGACCAAUGGGGCCAGGCUGAAGUAUUGAACUUUCUGCUACGCUACCAACCCCGCAGU